GGUUUGGUGGUCUAGUAGUAUGAUUCACCCUUAGGGUUCCUCGUGAGAGGCUCAACCUGGGUGAGGUCCCGGGUUCAAUUCCCGGCCAGACCC